rnacentral:rRNA from 1 species
AGAAUCAACGCUGGCGGCGUGCCUAACACAUGCAAGUCGCACGAGAAAGGGACUUCGGUCCUGAGUACAGUGGCGCACGGGUGAGUAACACGUGAAUAAUCUACCUCCGAGUGGGGAAUAACUGAGAGAAAUCUUAGCUAAUACCGCAUAACACUUACAAGUCAAAGCAGCAAUGCGCUUGGAGAGGAGUUCGCGGCAGAUUAGUUAGUUGGCGGGGUAAUGGCCCACCAAGACGAUGAUCUGUAUCCGGCCUGAGAGGGCGCACGGACACACUGGAACUGAAACACGGUCCAGACUCCUACGGGAGGCAGCAGUGGGGAAUUUUGCGCAAUGGGGGAAACCCUGACGCAGCAACGCCGCGUGGAGGAUGAAAUCCCUUGGGAUGUAAACUCCUUUCGAUCGGGAAGAUAAUGACGGUACCGAGAGAAGAAGCCCGGCUAACUUCGCGCCAGCAGCCGC